rnacentral:misc_RNA from 1 species
UUUUGAGCUUGAUGGAAGAAAGUCGGGACCAAUAUCACAUGGUGCAUCCUCACCAAGCAGCUUAUUGCAGGUGCAAAUAGAAGAGAUUUGCAUUCCACUGCCUGCUCUCUUGUUUCAGGCCAUAAAGAGAUUAAUUGAGUUUGCAUACUUGAUUUGGUUGAGAUGCUUCGUGUUCAAUAACUAGGGCAAAGACCUUAUUAAUGCAUGGAAGAGGUUCUAUCAACAUAAUUUGAGAUAUCACUAUGGAAAAACUGUCAUUUAAUCCUUUUAAGAGGUGAAUCACAUAAUCUGAUUGAUCAUGUGUAACAGUAGCAAGAGCAUCACAAUUGCAAGUUGGAUUACAUGAAGAUGACGGAAUAGGUCUUAGAUUUGUUAACUUAUCCCAGAGUAUUUUCGGAUGUGCAAAGUAAUCGGUGACAGAGAGAUCAACUUGAUGGAAACUAUAGAUCUCUUGUUGCAGAUAUGAGAUUUGAAAAGUCUCCUUGAGCAAAACAAUCCUUCCCCACACCAAUGGCAUUAUCAGGCCCUAUUAUACUCUGAGCUAUAGAAGGAGAAAUAGAACACACUAACCAAGAUAAAACCAUGGUAUUGCAUUUCUGCCAAUUAGAGUGAAGAGGAUCUGUGAUCACAGGAAUGAGAAUUGUACCAUCUACAAAUUGAAGCUUGUUCAUAGAGAGUAAAGCCAUGGUCUUAUGCUGAGAGUAUAGGAGAAACUAAGAUCAACGAUGGAUUCUAGUUUGCAUGAUGAUAAUACAGACUGGAUUAUGGAAGGCAAUUCUUCUGGUCUCGCAAUAGAGUUUGCUUAACUAGCCAUUGAAGGAAGGUUGAAUCUCAGAAAAGGAGUGACUGCUUUUCGAGAAACUGAAAGGAAAAAAAUUACAGGAAUCGAAAAACUUUGAGAGAAUUUUUUCUCUGAUAUCAUAAAAAGAAAAUGAGGAGACAAAUUAUGAAAACUGAGAUUACAUUGAAGAAGAGCUGAGCAGCUUAUUUAUGCCAGCUGCUAAAGAAAACAGUUCCGGCUAACAGCUUUGCAGACUUGCAGACUAAGCACACCAGAAAAGAUUCUUUCCUUAACUAAUUGCUAACUGACUAAAAAUAAAUUAAAACUAUGCUUUGUAUGUUAUCGUGGGCUAGACAAGACUGCUGGUGCGGAGGAUUGGUUUUAUUUGAAGGUCAUACUGUCAAAUUCUAUUCUGUCUGAGCCUAAGAAAUGAGAAGAGGGGCAUCCUCUCUCUCUCUCUCUCUCACACGCACACACACACAGAGACACGCCUAAUGGCUUCUCUUUUCAGAGACCUCUCAUUAGGCCAUUCCAAGAGAGAGUAAACUCCACCGCUGCUACAACCGCCACCAACAAUGUCUUCUAAACUAAUCGCCUCCGAUCUCGACUCUCCACUCGGCCAACUCUCCACCCAGCUCAACGAUUCCGACCUCCGAGCCACCGCCUACGAGAUCUUCGUCGCCGUAUCCCGUACUUCGCCUGGCAAGCCUCUCACCUACAUCUCCAACUCAUCCAACUCCGACUUGUCGACUCACCAUCACUCGCCUAACUCGCCAGCGUUGCAGCGCUCGCUCAAUUCCGCCGCUGCCAGUAAAAUGAAAAAGGCCUUUGGUUUGAAAUCGCCAGGCUCCGGUUCCAAGAAGAGCCCCGGUUCGGGUCCGGGCUCGGGCCAGGGGAAGUCCCGGCGGUCUUUGACUGUUGGAGAGUUGAUGAGGAGCCAAAUGCGGGUGUUGGAGACUACAGAUUCGAGGAUUAGGAAAGCUCUUGUGAGGAUUGCUGCUGGUCAGGUUGGAAGGCGAAUAGAGUCGGUUGUUCUCCCGCUAGAGCUAUUACAGCAGCUUAAGCAUUCAGAUUUUGCUGAUCUACAAGAAUAUGAAACAUGGCAGAAGAGAACUAUGAAAGUUCUUGAGGCUGGACUUCUUAUGCAUCCUCGUGUAUCCCUUGAAAAGUCAAAUCCUACUUCACAGCGGCUGCGGCAAAUUAUCAAUGGUGCUUUGGAUAGGCCUAUAGAAACUGGAAAGAAUAAUGAGUCAAUGCAAGUUCUUCGUAGUGCUGUUACAUCUCUUGCCAAUAGAUCUGAUGGAUCUUUUUCUGAGAUAUGCCACUGGGCUGAUGGGAUUCCAUUGAAUCUCCGCCUCUAUGAAAUGCUUUUAGAAGCCUGCUUUGAUGUUAAUGAUGAAACAUCUAUAAUAGAGGAAGUUGAUGAGCUUAUGGAACACAUAAAGAAGACUUGGACUAUCCUUGGAAUGAAUCAAAUGCUCCACAACCUCUGCUUUACAUGGGUCUUAUUUCACCGCUUUGUUGCAACUGGCCAAGUGGAAACAGAUCUACUUGAUGCUGCUGAUGGUCAGCUGGCUGAAGUUGCUAAAGAUGCUAAGACGACAAAGGAUCCACAAUACUCCAAGGUUUUGAGUUCUACAUUGAGUUGUAUAUUGGGUUGGUCAGAGAAAAGGCUCCUUGCAUAUCACGAAACAUUUGAUAGUGGAAAUAUUGAGGCCAUGCAGAGCAUUGUUUCUCUUGGGGUUUCAGCAGCCAAGAUUUUAGUUGAGGAUAUAUCUAAUGAGUACCGCAGAAAGAGGAAAGGUGAAGUUGAUGUAGCUCGAAGUAGGAUUGACACCUACAUCAGGUCCUCACUGCGUACUGUUUUUGCUCAGAGAAUGGAGAAAGCAGACUCAAGCAGAAGAGCAUCCAAAAAUCAGCCCAAUCCUCUUCCUGUUCUGGCAAUCCUUGCAAAGGAUGUUGGAGAGCUGGCACUUAAUGAGAAGCGAGUAUUUAGUCCAAUACUGAAGAGAUGGCACCCUUUGGCAGCAGGUGUGGCUGUGGCCACACUGCAUGCUUGCUAUGGAAAUGAGCUAAAACAGUUCAUAUCCGGCAUAAUGGAAUUAACACCAGAUGCUGUACAAGUGCUGAGAGCUGCAGAUAAACUGGAGAAAGAUCUUGUGCAAAUUGCUGUAGAAGAUUCUGUAGAUAGUGAUGAUGGUGGGAAGGCAAUAAUCCGCGAAAUGCCUCCAUAUGAAGCUGAAGCUGCAAUUGCCAAUCUGGUAAAAGCAUGGAUCAAAGCAAGACUGGAUAGACUCAAGGAAUGGGUCGACAGAAAUUUGCAACAAGAGGUCUGGAAUCCACAAGCAAAUCAAGAAGGAUUUGCUCCAUCUGCUGUUGAAGUCCUAAGAAUUAUUGAUGAAACUUUGGAUGCAUAUUUUCAGCUACCAAUACCAAUGCAUCCAGCAUUGCUACCAGAUUUGAUGUCUGGCUUGGAUAGGUGUCUUCAAUAUUAUGCAAGCAAGGCAAAAUCGGGCUGUGGAUCACGGAACACAUAUGUACCAACUAUGCCAGCAUUAACCAGAUGCACAACAGGAUCAAAGUUUCAAGGUGUGUGGAAAAAGAAAGAGAAGUCACCAAAUCCUCAGAAGAAGAAUUCUCAGGUUGCAACAAUGAAUGGUGAUAAUUCUUUUGGGAUACCCCAGCUGUGUGUGCGUAUAAACACAUUGCACCGAAUCCGAACAGAGUUGGAUGUUUUGGAAAAGAGGAUAAUAACUCAUCUAAGGAACUCUGAAUCAGCUCAUACAGAAGACUUUUCAAAUGGCUUGGCAAAGAAGUUUGAACUUACACCAUCUGCUUGUGUGGAAGGAGUUCAACAACUCAGUGAGGCACUGGCUUAUAAAAUUGUUUUUCAUGAUUUGAGUCAUGUUCUGUGGGAUGGUUUGUACGUUGGGGAGCCAUCAUCUUCUAGAAUUGAGCCUUUUCUUCGGGAGCUUGAGCGGAACUUGAUCAUUAUAUCAGAUACCAUGCAUGAAAGAGUUCGAACUCGGGUUGUUACUGACCUAAUGAGAGCUUCUUUUGAUGGAUUUUUGCUUGUUUUGCUUGCUGGAGGCCCCUCCCGUGCUUUCACCCGUCAGGAUUCUGAAAUAAUAGAGGAUGAUUUUAAAUCCAUUAAAGAUCUAUUUUUGGCCAAUGGGGAUGGCUUGCCUGCUGAGUUAAUAGAUAAGUUUUCAGUCACAGUAAGAGGCAUUCUUCCCCUUUAUCGAACUGAUACAGAGAGCCUGAUCGACCGUUUCAGACGUGUCACAUUGGAGGCAUAUGGCUCUUCUGCCAGGUCUAGGCUUCCAUUACCUCCAACUUCAGGAGAGUGGAACCCUACCGAACCAAACACACUCCUUCGUGUGUUGUGUUACCGGAAUGAUGAAGCAGCAACAAAGUUCCUCAAGAAGACCUAUAAUUUGCCUAAGAAACUGUAACAAAUUUGAGGCACUGUGCAUGCUACUGAGGCAAGCCACUUGCAGGGGGUACUGCAUAUGCAGAACAUAACAGAACAGAACGCUACACUCUCAUAGUUGUAUUUAGCAAUUAUGAUCCAGACAGGUUUGUUCACGUCAUAGUUGGGCGGGCUGUUUGGUGCCUUGGAAAUUAGCAGUGAAUUUGUAUAGUACAUUAGAAGUGUCUUGGCUAAGUCUAUUUGCAUUUGAACAGGAUUCACAGUUGGAGUGCAGGAAAAACUAAGAGAGGUGUGAGACCUUGCAAGCUUUACUUGUUGGAGGACGUAAGUGGAGAUCCAGUAUUAUU